rnacentral:rRNA from 1 species
UAGUCCACGCCGUAAACGAUGAUUACUCGUAGUAUGCGAUAUAAUGUAUGCUACCAAGGGAAACCGAUAAGUAAUCCACCUGGGGAGUACGCCGGCAACGGUGAAACUCAAAGGAAUUGACGGGGGCCCGCACAAGCGGAGGAACAUGUGGUUUAAUUCGAUGAUACGCGAGGAACCUUACCCGGGAUUGAAAUGUAUAUGCAGGAUUUGGAAACAAGUCUGUUCUUCGUAAGAAGACGUAUAUGU